ACACGCAUGACACACUGCAUAUCAAUAAGCGGAGGAAAAGCUAAAGGGUAAUUAUACCUACGCUUAGGAUGUUGACGAGACUGUCGAUCUCAUCUACACGCAUGACACACUGCAUAUCAAUAAGCGGAGGAAAAGAAACUAACAAGGAUUCCCUUAGUAACGGCGAGUGAAGCGGGAAGAGCUCAAAUUUGAAAUCUUCAAGGUUCUACCUUGACGAAUUGUAGUUUAUAGAAGUGUUUUCUGUAGUGGAGUUUGGUAAAAGUUCUUUGGAAUAGGACAUCAUAGAGGGUGAGAAUCCCGUAUUUGGUCAUUCCUUCUAGCGUUGUGAUACACUUUCAAAGAGUCGGAUUGUUUGGGAAUGCAGUCCAAAAUGGGUGGUAAAUUUCAUCUAAAGCUAAAUAUUGGCGAGAGACCGAUAGCGAACAAGUACCGUGAGGGAAAGAUGAGAAGAACUUUGAAAAGAGAGUUAAACAGUACGUGAAAUUGUCAAAAGGGAAGCGUUUGACACCAGUGUUGUUUUUCCGAAAAUCAAUUACGAAUGUUUUGUUUUUGAGAAGUUAUGACUUCAUCGGCUUGCUUCUCUCUUUACGAAACUUUCUUAAUGCACUUUUCGGUUAACAAGUCAACAUCAAUUUCUUUUGUUGUAAAAGGGUAUGAGGAAGGUGGCUUUCUUUUCGGAGAAAGUGUUUAUAGCCUUGUACCUCUGCAAUCGGAGAGAUUGAGGUCUGCAGCGUAGAUCCUUCGGGGUUAGAUACAUUUGUGCUAAGUUAUAGCUUUUCAUAGACAACUUGUUGACUAUGUUUAAGUCUUGUAGCUUACUCGCUCAGUGCUAUUUUACCUACGCUUAGGAUGUUGACGAGACUGUCGAUCUC
rnacentral:rRNA from 1 species